GGAAGUAAAAGUCGUAGCAAGGUUUCCGUAGGUGAACCUGCGGAAGGAUCAUUCAUAAUAAGUGUUUUAUGGCACUUUUUUAAAUCCAUAUCCACCUUGUGUGCAAUGUCAGGGUUGAUUUUUCUCUCGAGAGGAUCAACCCCAAACAUCAACUAUAUCUCAACUCUUUGUCUGAAAAAUAUUAUGAAUAAAACAAUUCAAAAUACAACUUCCAACAACGGAUCUCUUGGCUCUC
rnacentral:misc_RNA from 1 species